GAUGAACGCUGGCGGCGUGCCUAAUACAUGCAAGUCGAGCGAACAGACGAGGAGCUUUCUUCUCUGACGUUAGCGGCGGACGGGUGAGGAACACGUGGAUAACCUACCUAUAAGACUGGGAUAACUUCGGGAAACCGGAGCUAAUACCGGAUAAUAUAUUGAACCGCAUUGUUCAAUAGUGAAAGACGGUCUUGCUGUCACUUAUAGAUGGAUCCGCGCUGCAUUAGCUAGUUGGUAAGGUAACGGCUUACCAAGGCAACGAUGCAUAGCCGACCUGAGAGGGUGAUCGGCCACACUGGAACUGAGACACGGUCCAGACUCCUACGGGAGGCAGCAGUAGGGAAUCUUCCGCAAUGGGCGAAAGCCUGACGGAGCAACGCCGCGUGAGUGAUGAAGGUCUUCGGAUCGUAAAACUCUGUUAUUAGGGAAGAACAAAUGUGUAAGUAACUGUGCAUCUCUUGACGGUACCUAAUCAGAAAGCCACGGCUAACUACGUG
rnacentral:rRNA from 1 species